rnacentral:rRNA from 1 species
UACGUAUGUCGCAAGCGUUAUCCGGAUUUAUUGGGCGUAAAGCGCACGCAGGCGGUUGAUUGAGUCAGAUGUGAAAUCCCCGGGCUUAACCCGGGAAUUGCAUCUGAUACUGGUCAGCUAGAGUCUUGUAGAGGGGGGUAGAAUUCCAUGUGUAGCGGUGAAAUGCGUAGAGAUGUGGAGGAAUACCGAAGGCGAAGGCAGCCCCUUGGGAAUGUACUGACGCUCAUGUGCGAAAGCGUGGGGAGCAAACAGG